rnacentral:rRNA from 1 species
UACGGGGGGGGGCGAGCGUUGUUCGGAAUUACUGGGCGUAAAGGGUGCGUAGGCGGUGCUCUAAGUCGGAUGUGAAAACUCUGGGCUCAACCCAGAGCCUGCAUCCGAAACUGGAGUGCUAGAGUUCUGGAGGGGGUAGCGGAAUUCCUGGUGUAGCGGUGAAAUGCGUAGAUAUUGGGAGGAACACCAGUGGCGAAGGCGGCUACCUGGACCGGUUCUGACGCUGAGGCGCGAAAGCGUGGGUAGCAAACAGG